rnacentral:rRNA from 1 species
UAGGGGACCUGNGAGGNUGNCCCCCCACACUGGCACUGAAANNCGGGCCAGACACCUACGGNNNGCAGCAGUAGGGAANNUUGGACAAUGGGCGAAAGCCUGAUCCAGCAACGCCGCGUGCGCGAUGACGGCCUUCGGGUUGUAAAGCGCUUUUAGAGGAGAUGAGAAAGGACAGUAUCCUCAGAAUAAGCCUCGGCGAACUACGUGCCAGCAGCCGCGGUAAAACGUAGGAGGCUAGCGUUAUCCGGAUUUAUUGGGCGUAAAGCGCGUGCAGGCGGUNUGAUAAGUUGGAUGUGAAAUCUCCCGGCUUAACUGGGAGCGGUCGUUCAAAACUAUCAGACUAGAGAAUGGGAGAGGAAGGUGGAAUUCCGGGUGUAGUGGUGAAAUGCGUAGAUAUCCGGAGGAGCACCAGUGGCGAAAGCGGCCUCCUGGACCAUUUCUGACGCUAAGACGCGAAAGCUAGGGUAGCAAACGGGAUUAGAGACCCCGGUAGUCCUAGCCGUAAACGAUGUAGACUUGGCGUUGGCGGAGUUAAAUCUGCCAGUGCCGAAGCUAACGCGUGAAGUCUACCGCCUGGGGACUACGACCGCAAGGUUAAAACUCAAAGGAAUUGACGGGGACCCGCACAAGCAGCGGAGCGUGUGGUUUAAUUCGAUGCUACACGAAGAACCUUACCUGGGUUUGACAUGCAAGUGGUAGUGAUCUGAAAAGUGAACGACCCUUCGGGGAGCUUGCACAGGUGCUGCAUGGCUGUCGUCAGCUCGUGUCGUGAGAUGUUCGGUUAAGUCCGCUAACGAGCGCAACCCUCACUGUGUGUUACAUGUGUCACACGGGACUGCCGGUUUUAAGCCGGAGGAAGGCGGGGAUGACGUCAAGUCAGCAUGGCCUUUAUAUCUUGGGCUACACACACGCUACAAUGGUCUGUACAAUAGGUUGCCAAGCCGCGAGGCGGAGCCAAUCCUAAAAGCAGGCCUCAGUUCAGAUUGCAGUCUGCAACCCGACUGCAUGAAGAUGGAGUUGCUAGUAACCGCAGGUCAGCUAUACUGCGGUGAAUACGUUCCCGGGUCUUGUACACACCGCCCGU